GGAAGGUUGACAGAGUUUGGUAAUGUGCCUUAUUGUUAAACAGAGGCUGUACAGUGAUGUGCAACAAAGGUUCAAGUCCUUUACCUUCCUCCA
rnacentral:tRNA from 1 species